UACGUAGGGUGCGAGCGUUGUCCGGAAUUAUUGGGCGUAAAGAGCUUGUAGGCGGUCUGUCGCGUCUGCUGUGAAAAUCCGGGGCUUAACCCCGGACCUGCAGUGGGUACGGGCAGACUAGAGUGUGGUAGGGGAGACUGGAAUUCCUGGUGUAGCGGUGAAAUGCGCAGAUAUCAGGAGGAACACCGAUGGCGAAGGCAGGUCUCUGGGCCACUACUGACGCUGAGAAGCGAAAGCAUGGGGAGCGAACAGG
rnacentral:rRNA from 1 species